GGUCAUUAACGUUAAAGACCGGAUACGUGGGAAAAUCUUGGUCUUCUCAGGCUUAAAAGAAGUGAGUGGAUAUCGAAUGUACUUUUCCUUUGAUUUUUGGAAAUAAACUCUUUAUUUAAAUGUAAAAUGAAUGCUCCCCAUUUUUUUAUCAAUAAAAGACUGCAACAGGAAAAAUAUUUACAAUCCAUUAUUGUCAUAGAACUAAACUGAUUGUCGCUGGAAUCCAGACGCACCCUUCAUCUUUCCAGCCUUGUGUUUAGGAGCUUUUCUGGGAAACUUCCACCCUACCUGAGCAAAAUGCUCUCCUCGGCUGUUCCCACCUCCUAUAACCUCUGAUCCAGUACCAGCACUUUAUUUAGUCUACCUCAAUACAAAAAGAAAGCGGCCCGAUCCUCCUCCUCCUCCAGAGCGCCGCAACUGUGGAAUGACCUCCCGCACACUUUAAAAUCUUCCCCAUGCCUAAAGUCCU